rnacentral:rRNA from 1 species
AGAACGAACGCUGGCGGCAGGCUUAACACAUGCAAGUCGAACGCCCCGCAAGGGGAGUGGCAGACGGGUGAGUAACGCGUGGGAAUCUACCCAGAACUUCGGAACAACACAGGGAAACUUGUGCUAAUACCGGAUACGCCCUACGGGGGAAAGAUUUAUCGGUUUUGGAUGAGCCCGCGUUGGAUUAGCUAGUUGGUGAGGUAAAAGCUCACCAAGGCGACGAUCCAUAGCUGGUCUGAGAGGAUGACCAGCCACAUUGGGACUGAGACACGGCCCAAACUCCUACGGGAGGCAGCAGUGGGGAAUCUUGCGCAAGUGGGCGAAAGCCUGACGCAGCCAUCGCCGCGUGAAUGGAUGGAAGGUCUUAGGAUUAGUUAAAAUUCGUUUCGACCGGGACGAUAAUGGACGGUACCGGAGAAGACGCCCGGUACUACGUCGUA